rnacentral:rRNA from 1 species
GUCUGGAAUGAAAUGCCGGGGCUUAACCGGAGUAGUGCAUUGGAAACUGGGAGACUUGAGUGCAGAAGAGGAGAGUGGAACUCCAUGUGUAGCGGUGAAAUGCGAAGAUAUAUGGAAGAACACCAGUGGCGAAAGCGGCUCUCUGGUCUGUAACUGACGCUGAGGUUCGAAAGCGUGGGUAGCAAACAG